GGGGACGCGGCGGCGGCUGCGGUGCGGCGGGACGGCGGGCGGCACCGCGAGGUUUCGUUUGGACUUUGCUUGGUGUUGAGAAAUGGGAGAGAUAGAGGGAACGUACAGGGUCCUGCAGACUCCUGGCUCUCGUUUGGGCGUCCAGAAGAAUAGCGGGGUGAGCACUUUGGAGCCGGGGCAGAAUCUCUCUACAGCCAUGGCAUCAUCGCCUGCCAAAACACAUGAGAGGGACCUGCAGGUCAAGAUAAAGAUGUUGGACAACACGGUGGAAGUACUUGACAUUGAGUCAAAAUAUUACGGCCAGGCGUUACUGACAGAAGUUUACAAGCACCUGAAUUUAAUUGAAUCGGACUACUUUGGAAUUGAGUUCCAGAACAUCCAGUCCUACUGGAUUUGGCUGGAACCAAUGAAACCUGUUGUUAAACAAGUACGGAGACCAAAGACUACAAUGCUUCGUCUAGCUGUGAAGUUCUUCCCUCCAGACCCAGGCCAGCUGCAAGAGGAAUAUACAAGGUACCUGUUUGCUUUGCAAAUCAAAAGAGACCUGGCAGAGGAGCGACUAACCUGCAGUGACAACACGGCAGCUCUUCUUGUCUCUCAUCUCCUGCAAUCUGAAAUAGGGGAUUUUGAUGAAUCGGAAGAUCGAGAGCACCUGAAAGUAAAUCGAUAUUUGCCAAACCAGGAAAGAAUCCAAGGGAAGAUCCUGGAGUUCCACAGGAAACAUGUGGGUCAAACUCCUGCCGAAUCAGACUUCCAAGUGCUUGAAAUUGCUCGGAAACUGGAGAUGUACGGCAUCAGGUUUCACCUUGCAUCUGAUCGUGAGGGCACAAAAAUUAAUCUCGCUGUUUCACACAUGGGUGUGCUAGUAUUCCAGGGUAAUACGAAAAUCAAUACCUUUAACUGGUCCAAGGUCCGUAAACUGAGCUUCAAGAGGAAACGCUUUCUUAUUAAACUCCACCCAGAGGUCUGUGGCCCAUACCAAGAUACACUGGAGUUUCUUUUGGGAAGUAGGGAUGAAUGUAAGAACUUCUGGAAAAUCUGUGUUGAAUACCACACAUUUUUUAGGCUCUUUGAUCAGCCAAAGCCAAAGGCUAAAGCAGUCUUCUUCACCAGAGGGUCAUCGUUCAGAUACAGUGGACGAACACAGAAGCAGCUAGUGGAUUAUAUUAAAGACAGUGGGAUGAAGAAAACUCCAUAUGAAAGGAGGCACAGCAGAGUCAGAGUGUCCACUCACACUUCAAACACAGAUGUGCCAAAACAGAGCAUCGCGUUCCCUGAGGGCUUGAGGACCCCGGGGUCUCCUGCCUCAGCGACUGUUUCCUUCCACUCCGUUCAUUCCUCAGCUGCUCCUACCAUCCUGCCCAUCUUUGCAGAAGGCAGCCCUUCCUCCUUGGACCCCCGAGCAUCGUACACAAGGAUUCCGGACAAAAACACCCCGAUGCCUGCAGAAGAAACGGGGAGGAAACUGGUGCAGCAGCCUGGAUCUCCCAUGUUCCAGUCAUUCCAAGGCCUCCCAGUGGACCAUUCUCAGCUCUCCUCCCUUGUGCUGAAGAGUCCCUUGGGUUUGAACCCAGCAUUCCCUGUCAACCUGAACGCAGCUGCCCAGGGUUCAUCUCCUCUCCUGAGCCCUGUCCUCAGUGAUGCUGGUGGUGCCAGGAUAGAAGAGGACGAUGAGGCGAAACGUAAGCGCUAUCCAACCGACAAAGCGUAUUUCAUUGCAAAGGAGAUUCUUGCUACAGAACGGACGUAUUUAAAGGACCUGGAAGUUAUUACAGUGUGGUUUCGCAGCGCUGUUAUCAAGGAGAGUGCAAUGCCAGAGGGCCUGAUGACGUUACUCUUCUCUAACAUAGACCCAAUUUAUGAGUUCCACCGAGGCUUUCUGAAGGAGAUUGAGCAGAGGCUUUCGCUCUGGGAAGGAAAAACAAAUGCUCACGUGAAAGGAGAUUAUCAACGCAUUGGAGAUGUCAUGCUGAGGAACAUGCGCACUCUGAAGGAGUUUACAAGUUACUUGCAGAAGCAUGACGAGGUCCUGACAGAACUGGAGAAAGCAACCAAACGCCUGAAGAAACUGGAAAUGGUUUAUAAGGAGUUUGAGCUGCAGAAAGUUUGCUAUCUGCCACUCAACACGUUUCUGCUCAAGCCAAUCCAGAGGUUGAUGCACUACAAGCUGAUCCUGGGGAGGCUUUGCAAGCACUACACAGCAGAGCACCGGGAUUUUGCAGAUUGCCGAAAUGCCCUGAAGGAAGUCACAGAGAUGACCUCCCAGCUCCAGCACAGCCUUAUCCGCUUGGAGAAUUUCCAGAAGCUGACAGAGCUGCAGCAUGACUUGAUUGGUAUUGACAACCUCACAGCACCUGGUCGGGAAUUUAUCCGGGAAGGCUGCUUGUACAAGCUCACCAAGAAAGGUUUACAGCAGCGGAUGUUCUUUCUGUUCUCAGAUAUGUUACUUUACACAAGCAAAGGGGUGACGGGGACAAAUCAGUUCAAAAUUCACGGCCAUCUUCCUCUGCAUGGCAUGCUGCUGAUAGUGCUUGACCCACCGGUGGAGGAGAGUGAGAAUGAAUGGGCCGUCCCACACUGCUUCACAAUCUAUUCAGCACAGAAGACCAUAGUAGUGGCAGCAAGCACCCGCUUGGAGAUGGGGAAGUGGAUGGAAGACCUAAACAUGGCAAUUGAAAUGGCUAAAAAAUCCACUGAGAAAUCUGACAUGCUUCUGGACAACUCCGUAUGCAACCGCUCCAACAGAUCCUCUGACGAGGUCUCCCUAGAACAGGAGUCCGAAGAUGACAUACACUCUUCCCGUAGCUCCUUGGACAGGCAGAGCCACCACCGUGCCAACACAACCAUGCACGUGUGCUGGUACCGCAACACCAGCGUCUCCAUGACUGACCACAGUGUGGCUGUCGAGAGCUUCCUCCUCGCUAUUUGCUGGGUCAGGCCCAACGGCCCAACACAAUCACCCAUGUUUGUUGGUACCGGAACCAGAGCCUGUCCCUCUCUGAUUACCUGUGCAUGAUCCAGAACCAGCUCUCUGGGUACCUGCUGAGGAAGUUCAAGAACAGCAACGGCUGGCAGAAGCUCUGGGUCGUUUUCACCAACUUCUGCCUGUUCUUCUACAAAACACACCAGGAUGAUUAUCCCCUGGCCAGCCUCCCGCUGCUUGGCUACGUGGUCAGCUCCCCCGUGGAGGCGGAUGGCAUUCAGAAGGAUUAUGUCUUCAAGCUGCAGUUCAAAUCCCACGUGUAUUUCUUCAGGGCUGAGAGCAAAUACACCUUUGAGAGGUGGAUGGAGGUGAUCAAGAGGGCCACCAGCUCCCCAGCCAGGUCGAGCCUUUUGCUUCCCAAGGACGAGAAGGAUCGGCACACGGACUGAAGGGAGCAGAGCUGGAUCUCUGCCAUAACCAUCGCCAAGAGGCAGGUGGAAGCAGGAGUCUGGGGAGGUGAUAGAGCAGAGAACCAGGAAGCUCAUUUCUACCUGGUAUGGAACGGGAGAGCUUGGGAGUUGCAGACAGGGAUCGAGCCCACUCCAAAUGGUGUGGGAGAGGGUCACGGCUGCUCCAGGUGAACCUACUUAGAGAGAACCUAACAACUGCAGAGCUUUGGUGUGUACACGUUGUGGAAGGUGUACUGCUCCAGUUGUACCUGUACAGUAAUGCCCUUGCCUGCCCUGAAGGUGGCAAAUGCCACCUUUUUUUUCACGUUUUUACUGGAUGGACAGCAUAUAUGUGGGGAAAGCAGCAGCUGCUGGGAUGUGAGUGGUUCACAGCUGCUGGCAGCAGGCUGGAUGAAUCCCAGUGGUUCCCUUCCCUGAUGCUUAUGGCUGGCUCCCGCCACAACCCCACUGCUAUCCAUGUCAGCUGGCUUGCAGACCUUCGACUAACAGGGUCCCGCAGAUGUAUUGGCAUAACGAGUGCAUUUUGAACAGAAACAGCAGCUCUUGCACAACAGUUCUGCUACUCAGAGGCUGCCAAGGCAACGAUUUUCCAGGGGAAGUGUGAAGUGCUGCUGAGUGUCAGCACACUGCGGGUUGGUGCAGGUGAGGUGUGUGGUUUCCCCUCUGAACUCUGCUAUGGUGCAUGCUGAGAGGGUCACUUGCUAGUCUCAUAUCACAGCUCCAGAGUUCCUUUAUCCUAUCGUAGGCAUUACUUAAGGCACGGGAUGGCAAACACUUCACCCUUGUGUGAAUGAUAUUUUCAAGGCAUUUAAAGCAAUAUAGGAGAACAAGCUUCUUGGAAAGUCACUGUUGCUUGUGCUUCUUUGUGAUGUAAAGACUUUUGAGAAUCCCUUUUCUUACCUCUAAAUAUUGAGUGGGAACCAACUUCUGUUUCUUGUGAAGGUGUGAAAGUCACUGGAUCCCAGAUGGAGCAUUAGCGUGCGAGGACUCCAUUAAAUCUCUGUAUUAAUGCUGGCA